rnacentral:lncRNA from 1 species
AGCAACAUGAGUGGGGGAAACUGGCAUAGCUUGAACCUGGAAUUGAUAUUUAAUCAUCACAGAACACAGGGAAACAUAGACCAGUGAGGCAGAACUUGGCUUGAAUCCUGACUAAGCCAAUUGCUAGGUUGAGGGAUGGCAAAUUAUUCAACCUCUCUGAGCCUCUGUCCCCUCAACUGCUGGAUGGAAAGAGUACUGUGAGAAGUCAAAGGGUAGUUAUCAGGAUUAAAUGAUAAACUGUAACCAGUGUGUCUAUCACACUGCAUGAAAUUUGAUGGAAGCCCAAUAAAUGUUAGUUCUAUCUCUUUCAAGGUGUCAAAAUUUUUUGUGUAAACUGCUAUUUUACUUGCACUCUAUGUGACUGUCCUCAAGUGUUCAGAAAUGCAAAUUUAUUGUGGGGUAUGGUAUGGAGAUUGAAGUAUUUCUUGUAGGACUCUCAAGAAUGUGGUAUUAUGUGAUGAUCUUUGGUUGACUUUCCAGAAAGAUGUGCAUCAUAAUAUGGACCUCUGUGAGAUAGAGAUGGUAGGUGUGUGACUCCAAACUAGGGAAGGGCUCAUUCAAGAGAGGGUAGUUCUGGAGUUAGGAGGUCUGGAGUGGUCUCUAACACACAGUCCUUGGCCCGCAGCUGGACAUCUGAUGGUCAAAAUGCCUCCUUUCCCAGGAUGCCUCUGUUUCAUCCAGGACCUAAGUGGAAGAAGCCAUGAAUAUAGGGAUACGGAGCUUCAUGUGGAAGUUGUGGAGGGACCACAUCAUUCCCAGGUGACUUCACAUCUAGAGAGGCAUCACACCAAACCCAUGAAGGAGACACCAACUGGGAAGAGGUCUCUCUUCUACCACAGACUGUGGCUGGAGGGGCUGCCACGCAACCCUUCUGUCUCCUCUCCCUCACCUUUUCUCCUUGGGCAAAUCUUCUGGCCCACCACUCAUGGUGGGUAUUUCUCUUGUUGAGGAAACCUGUGUGUGUGUGUGUGUGUGUGUGUGUGUGUGUGUUUAUUUUGUCACCUUUUAAAUAAACUGUAUCACCUUGUGGACCUUAUUUGUGUC